rnacentral:lncRNA from 12 species
GUGAACUGACAUUGGUUCUAGAGGAGGAAAACUUCAGGUUUAGAAGAAAAAAAAAGAGCAACUAAAUGUCUGUGCUUAAUAAGCUUUAAAGAGACUUGGUGAGCUGGUGUUAGCGAGAAUGGUUUUGCAAAAGGAAUCUAUUAUGAUGCUUCACAACUGCCCAGACCGAGGAAUAAUGCCCUUUCUGCUACUCUUUGAGGUCUGAAGGACUUUUUUUUUUUUUUUUUUUUCAAUUAAAGACUGCAUCCUAAGAGUGACCCUACAGGUGCACAAAGGAGAGACUGGUUGCCUGUCAGGGGCGUUGACGAAGGUUUUGUCUGUUUCAGUGUGGAUGCUGUGGAAGCGUUUUAUUGAUUCUAGGGAAAAUUCAGCUGCUUUUUAGUUCAGAUACAUUUGACCUAAAUGUUUUUACUCAGAAAAAAAUAAAGGAAGAGAGAAUGAAAGAAGACUGGGCUUACCUCUACUGUGUCCUUGCUAAAACAGAUGAAGGACACUUUUAAAAACCCAUCACCCUUCGACUCUCUUUUGGUUUGAUCCAGAGCAGUAAGUAUGAGAAAUGGAUUCCAUUUUCCUGGAGAGGGACUUUUCUCAGCAACUACUACACGGACAGAAAACAACAGUAGGAGCCAUCUGAUGUGGAGUCUAAUUGAAGGAGGAUGUGGUUGUUUUCUUUUUUCCUGAGCUGUCCUCAUUGUCUGUCAAAGAACAGAAGACCUUCAACUUCAAGACAAAGUCCAAAACUGGUUAAUUAGAAUACUUGUAUGUCUAAUUAAAAUUGAGAAUGGCUCCUAAUUAUCGAUUUCAUUAGCAUUAAUUAUUAUUUCAAGUGGAUAACCAUAGAUUAUUGCCAUAGAUUAAAGUGCAUUUUAAGGUCAAUUCACAAAGGGAUUUUUUUUCUUACACAAAAGCACAGAGGAGAUUUGCUAGUAGGCCCUCAUCUUAUUCAGGGUUCAACAUGUUCCUAUUGAAAAUUAUAAUUUUCUACCUGUAGUGAAAUGAUUUUAAAAUUCCAAUAGCUUUCCCAAGGGCAGAAUAUUGAUAUUUACCUCUCUUAGAAAGACAUGCUUCACCCUGGGAGUGCUUACAAAUGUUACCUAAAUUAGCUAUCUUCAUAAUGAAGCUGACAGAGUCAAAAUUGAUCGUGCUG